AACGCGAAGAACCUUACCUGGUCUUGACAUCCCAGGAACCCUUCAGAGAUGAGGGGGUGCCUUCGGGAACCUGGAGACAGGUGCUGCAUGGCUGUCGUCAGCUCGUGUCGUGAGAUGUUGGGUUAAGUCCCGCAACGAGCGCAACCCUUGUCCUGUGUUGCCACUCCCCUUAAAAGGAAGCACUCGCAGGAGACCGCCAGCGAUAAGCUGGAGGAAGGUGGGGAUGAUGUCAAGUCAUCAUGGCCUUUAUGUCCAGGGCUACACACGUGCUACAAUGGACGGUACAAAGCGCUGCGAACCCGCGAGGGGAAGCUAAUCGCAAAAAACCGUUCUCAGUUCGGAUCGCAGGCUGCAACUCGCCUGCGUGAAGCUGGAAUCGCUAGUAAUGGUGUAUCAGAACGAUACCGUGAAUACGUUCCCGGGCCUUGUACACACCGAGACGUA
rnacentral:rRNA from 1 species